rnacentral:misc_RNA from 1 species
GCUAGUUCAGAGGCUUAAUAAAACAUAACUUACUAACAUUAAGUUCAAAAUUUGAAGAAACAACUCAGUAAAACGUAGAAACGUUUUGACAUAAUAUUCCUACAAGAAACAAAAUUUGAAAUGGAAAAACACAUAUUACAUUCCAGUGAAAGCUUUCUUCCCGCCACCACCAGAACCAGCCGGAAUCACCUUCAAGACAUUGAACCUCACGGUUUUGGAUAAAGGCCUGCACUGUCCAAUAGUAACAUGAUCUCCCUCU